GGAUGUGAGGGCAAUCAGGCUGCAACAUUUGUCACCCCAUUGAUUGCUGGGGUUGAUUUGGCUGAUCUCACUUGGGGCUGUCCCUUUCCUUCCUCACAGCUUCGGUGUGCAUUCCUCCCAAAGCUGCAUGCUUGAUGGAAGAGGGCAACCAUCCCUGAUAGAAGAAGUGAACCAGUCUUCAAUCAAAGGUAUAUUAUAUACAUACCCAUGCUAGAACCUAGAAAGAAAGAAAGAAAGAAAGAAAGAAAGAAAGAAAGAAAGAAAGAAAG
rnacentral:snRNA from 1 species